CCUACGGGAGGCAGCAGUAGGGAAUAUUGCUCAAUGGGGGAAACCCUGAAGCAGCAACGCCGCGUGGAGGAUGAAGGUUUUCGGAUUGUAAACUCCUUUUGUUAGAGAAGAUAAUGACGGUAUCUAACGAAUAAGCACCGGCUAACUCCGUGCCAGCAGCCGCGGUAAUACGGAGGGUGCAAGCGUUACUCGGAAUCACUGGGCGUAAAGAGCGCGUAGGCGGGAUAGCAAGUCAGAUGUGAAAUCCUAUGGCUUAACCAUAGAACUGCAUUUGAAACUGUUAUUCUAGAGUAUGGGAGAGGUAGGUGGAAUUCUUGGUGUAGGGGUAAAAUGCGUAGAGAUCAAGAGGAAUACUCAUUGCGAAGGCGACCUGCUAGAACAUAACUGACGCUGAGGCGCGAAAGCGUGGGGAGCAAACAGGAUUAGAUACCCUAGUAGUC
rnacentral:rRNA from 1 species